ensembl:snRNA U12 U12 minor spliceosomal RNA
AUGCCUUAAUGAGUAAGGACAACAAUGAUUCAAGGGGAUACCCAAAUACUGACUGCUAAUGUGAGACAAAUUUUUGAUGGGUAAGGUUUGCCCCUAACAUGACUUGCCUACUUUGCAAAAUGCCUCAGAAUCACCAUCUGCCCG